GAUGAAGAACGUAGCGAAAUGCGAUACUUGGUGUGAAUUGCAGAAUCCCGUGAACCAACGAGUCUUUGAACGCAAGUUGCGCCCGAAGCCAUUAGGCCGAGGGCACGCCUGCCUGGGCGUCACACGUCGUUGCCCCCCCAUCUACUCCUUCGGGAUUGCGGGGGGCGGAUGAUGGCCUCUCGUGCGCCUCGUCGCGCGGUUGGCCUAAAUGCCAAGUCCUCGGCGACGCACGCCACGACAAUCGGUGGUUGCGAAACCUCGGUUGCCUGUCGUGUGCGGUCGUCGCGCAUCGAGGGCUCGAAAAAAUUGCCGGGCUUCGGCUCGACUUUCAACGCGACCCCAGGUCAGGCGGGGUUACCCGCUGAAUUUAAGCAUAUCAAUAAGCGGAGGA
rnacentral:misc_RNA from 1 species